rnacentral:rRNA from 1 species
GGUGCUGAAGCAACAAAUGCCCUGCUUCCAGGAAAAGCCUCUAAGCAUCAGGUAACAUCAAAUCGUACCCCAAACCGACACAGGUGGUCAGGUAGAGAAUACCAAGGCGCUUGAGAGAACUCGGGUGAAGGAACUAGGCAAAAUGGUGCCGUAACUUCGGGAGAAGGCACGCUGACACGUAGGUGAAGUGAUUUACUCAUGGAGCUGAAGUCAGUCGAAGAUACCAGCUGGCUGCAACUGUUUAUUAAAAACACAGCACUGUGCAAACACGAAAGUGGACGUAUACGGUGUGACGCCUGCCCGGUGCCGGAAGGUUAAUUGAUGGGGUCAGCGCAAGCGAAGCUCCUGAUCGAAGCCCCGGUAAACGGCGGCCGUAACUAUAACGGUCCUAAGGUAGCGAAAUUCCUUGUCGGGUAAGUUCCGACCUGCACGAAUGGCGUAAUGAUGGCCAGGCUGUCUCCACCCGAGACUCAGUGAAAUUGAACUCGCUGUGAAGAUGCAGUGUACCCGCGGCAAGACGGAAAGACCCCGUGAACCUUUACUAUAGCUUGACACUGAACAUUGAGCCUUGAUGUGUAGGAUAGGUGGGAGGCUUUGAAGUGUGGACGCCAGUCUGCAUGGAGCCGACCUUGAAAUACCACCCUUUAAUGUUUGAUGUUCUAACGUGGACCCGUGAUCCGGGUUGCGGACAGUGUCUGGUGGGUAGUUUGACUGGGGCGGUCUCCUCCUAAAGAGUAACGGAGGAGCACGAAGGUUGGCUAAUCCUGGUCGGACAUCAGGAGGUUAGUGCAAUGGCAUAAGCCAGCUUGACUGCGAGCGUGACGGCGCGAGCAGGUGCGAAAGCAGGUCAUAGUGAUCCGGUGGUUCUGAAUGGAAGGGCCAUCGCUCAACGGAUAAAAGGUACUCCGGGGAUAACAGGCUGAUACCGCCCAAGAGUUCAUAUCGACGGCGGUGUUUGGCACCUCGAUGUCGGCUCAUCACAUCCUGGGGCUGAAGUAGGUCCCAAGGGUAUGGCUGUUCGCCAUUUAAAGUGGUACGCGAGCUGGGUUUAGAACGUCGUGAGACAGUUCGGUCCCUAUCUGCCGUGGGCGCUGGAGAACUGAGGGGGGCUGCUCCUAGUACGAGAGGACCGGAGUGGACGCAUCACUGGUGUUCGGGUUGUCAUGCCAAUGGCACUGCCCGGUAGCUAAAUGCGGAAGAGAUAAGUGCUGAAAGCAUCUAAGCACGAAACUUGCCCCGAGAUGAGUUCUCCCUGAGACUUAGAGUCUCCUGAAGGAACGUUGAAGACGACGACGUUGAUAGGCCGGGUGUGUAAGCGCAGCGAUGCGUUGAGCUAACCGGUACUAAUGAACCGUGAGGCUUAACCUUACAACGCCGAAG